GGGCCCGCACAAGCGGUGGAGCAUGUGGUUUAAUUCGAUGAUACGCGAGGAACCUUACCAGGGCUUAAAUGUAGUCUGACAGCUUUAGAGAUAGAGUUUUCUUCGGACAGAUUACAAGGUGCUGCAUGGUUGUCGUCAGCUCGUGCCGUGAGGUGUCAGGUUAAGUCCUAUAACGAGCGCAACCCCUGUCGUUAGUUGCCAGCAUGUCAUGAUGGGGACUCUAACGAGACUGCCGGUGCAAACCGCGAGGAAGGUGGGGAUGACGUCAAAUCAUCACGGCCCUUACGUCCUGGGCCACACACGUGCUACAAUGGCCGGUACAGAGAGCAGCCACGUCGCAAGGCGGAGCGAAUCCCAAAAAGCCGGUCUCAGUUCGGAUUGAGGUCUGCAACUCGACCUCAUG
rnacentral:rRNA from 1 species